rnacentral:rRNA from 1 species
CAUAUGCGUAUGUCAGUAGGGAAUAUUGCAUAAUGGGCGAAAGCCUGAUGCAGCAACGCCGCGUGUGCGAUGAAGGCCUUCGGGUCGUAAAGCACUUUUGAAGGGGAUGAGGAAGGACAGUACCCUUCGAAUAAGCUUCGGCUAACUACGUGCCAGCAGCCGCGGUAAAACGUAGGAAGCGAGCGUUAUCCGGAUUUACUGGGUGUAAAGCGCGUGUAGGCGGUUUGGCAAGUUGGAUGUGAAAGCUCCUGGCUUAACUGGGAGAGGUCGUUCAAAACUACCAGACUUGAGGAUGGGAGAGGGAGGCGGAAUUCCGGGUGUAGUGGUGAAAUGCGUAGAUAUCCGGAGGAACACCAGUGGCGAAAGCGGCCUCCUGGCCCAUAACUGACGCUCAGACGCGAAAGCUAGGGCGAGCAAACGCGAUAAGUUCACCACCUGGACUACGGCCGCAGUUAAACUCAGGAAUUGACGGGGGCGCACAAGCAGCGGAGCGUGUGGUUUAAUUCGAUGUUACACGAAGAACCUUACCAAGGUUUGACAUGCAAGUGGUAGGGAAGGGAAACCGGACCGACCCUUCGGGGAGCUUGCACAGGUGCUGCAUGGCUGUCGUCAGCUCGUGUCGUGAGAUGUUCGGUUAAGUCCGCUAACGAGCGCAGCCCUCGCUGUGUGUUACAAGUGUCACACGGGACUGCCGGUCUUAAGCCGGAGGAAGGUGGGGAUGACGUCAAGUCAGCAUGGCCUUUAUGCCUUGGGCUACACACACGCUACAAUGGGUAACACAAUAGGUUGCGAAGCCGCGAGGUGGAGCCAAUCCUGAAAGUUGCCCUCAGUUCAGAUCGUAGGCUGCAACUCGCCUGCGUGAAGACGGAGUUGCUAGUAAACACGCAGGUCAGCUAUACUGCGGUGAAUACGUUCCCGGGCCUUGUACA